AGAAACCAACAGGGAUUGCCCCAGUAACGGCGAGUGAAGCGGCAACAGCUCAAAUUUGAAAUCUGGCCCCAGGCCCGAGUUGUAAUUUGCAGAGGAUGCUUUUGGCGCGGUGCCUUCCGAGUUCCCUGGAACGGGACGCCAUAGAGGGUGAGAGCCCCGUACGGUUGGACACCAAGCCUUUGUAAAGCUCCUUCGACGAGUCGAGUAGUUUGGGAAUGCUGCUCUAAAUGGGAGGUACAUUUCUUCUAAAGCUAAAUAUUGGCCAGAGACCGAUAGCGCACAAGUAGAGUGAUCGAAAGAUGAAAAGCACUUUGAAAAGAGGGUUAAACAGCACGUGAAAUUGUUAAAAGGGAAGCGCUUGUGACCAGACUUGCGUCCGGUGAAUCACCCAGCUCUCGCGGCUGGGGCACUUCGCCGGCACAGGCCAGCAUCAGCUUGCCGUCGGGGACAAAAGCUUCAGGAACGUGGCUCCUCUCGGGGAGUGUUAUAGCCUGUUGCAUAAUACCCUUCGGCGGGCUGAGGUACGCGCUCCGCAAGGAUGCUGGCGUAAUGGUCAUCAGCGACCCG
rnacentral:rRNA from 1 species